rnacentral:rRNA from 1 species
GGGUGCCUACGGGACGCAGCAGUGGGGAAUAUUGCACAAUGGGGGAAACCCUGAUGCAGCGACGCCGCGUGAGUGAUGAAGUAUUUCGGUAUGUAAAGCUCUAUCAGCAGGGAAGAUAAUGACGGUACCUGACUAAGAAGCUCCGGCUAAAUACGUGCCAGCAGCCGCGGUAAUACGUAUGGAGCAAGCGUUAUCCGGAUUUACUGGGUGUAGAGGGAGCGCAGACGGCAGGGCAAGUCUGAUGUGAAAGUCCGGGGCUCAACCCCGGGACUGCAUUGGAAACUGUCCGGCUAGAGGGCAGGGGG